CUUUGAGUUCAUCGAUUACUUAAUGCUCCUUUUUUAGCACGAAAUCGUUUUUAGCGUUCAGCGUUCAGUUCUUGUUCUAUGGUUCAGUUCAAUAGUAUGUAGCAUAGAGUAAGUAAAAUAAAUACUUAUUCUACUUUCUCUAUGGUAUGUAGUCUGUGUUUGAGACCAUUUUGAGACAUAGGUUUCAGACGAGUGGCUCAUCGCAGAGGGGCAGCUAAACAAAGGACAAAUCCAACGUUGCCAUUUACCACGAUUCGUCAUUUGUAAUCUAACCCCACUUUUAUUCGUUGGCAGUUUAGACAAGGAAAKAACAAGCAAUGAACUGUAUACAAGUAAUAAAAAAAUAUUGACUUUUUGUCUGCCACAUUUAUUCUGCAUGUUUUUUGUUGCACUUAAAAACACACWCUUUAAACUUUGGAUGCGACUUCAGCGGUGAGGAAAAGAUUUUAAAACCAUGAACGAAUUAUAUGGAUUUUGCCCAAAAAUAAAUUGUAGAGAUAAGUAACUUGUGAUAAAUCUUAAAUAAUUUUAUUUAUGUCCACCGCAGUUGUGGACGAAACGUCAGGAAGAAAUUCCGAUAGACCACGGCUUCAAAGCCCGGAAAACAUUCCUAAAUGUAACAAAUGGAUAGUUUGAGAAAGAAAAUAAAUAAAAUAGUUGUUUCUAUAAAUAUUUAACUGAAUAAAUAUCGCAUCCUUGCAACCAUUUUAAAAUACUUUUAUAAGAACAUUUCGUACAAUACAUUUUUGUGUUUAUUACGAUCAGUGGCAGAUACUGUAAAUACCCCCCUGAGCAUACUUUUAAUUAUUUUUGCGACGUUCCGUAAACUGUAGAUUAAGUUUAAUAUGGUUUGCUUUGUUGUCUUUUUAAAAUACUAUUUAUUGUUGUUUUUAAGUGCAAUAAAAAACCUGCAAAAUGAAGGUUGUGGUAGACAAAAAGUCAAUAUUUCUUUAUUACUGCGCCCUCCCCUGAAGAAACUCUUAGAUCCCCCGCUGAUUACGAUUAGUAUCUGUUAAAAAUGUUUUGAGUACCUAAUAAUUUUUUAAACGUUAAUACAUUCUGUUUUUUUAGACUUACAUAUUUUAAAGCGUGGAGGACUGAGCAUACCUCUAGUUGUGUUAGUUAUUUAAUAAGCAAUGCAAUUUGUAAACCAUAUUCAUUUUGUCGGCUGCGGAAGAUGUUUUUAAGUUAAAUUAUGAAUGUUAUUGAGCUGAAUAUGUGCAACAGCUGCCCAAUUAUAAUUGGACUCAUAAUGACAAAAUGUUGAUUAUGUUAAAAAAAAAAAUUAUAUUUUGCCAGUACUACUCACUUCUUUAGACUUGUUGGAUUGUUAUGUAUACAUUUCAAUCGGGUUUAUUAUUAUUUGACCUAAC